ensembl:misc_RNA Metazoa_SRP Metazoan signal recognition particle RNA
GCCAGGCAUGGUGGCGCAUGCCUGUAGUCCCAGGUGCUCGGGAGGCUGGGGCAGGAGAAUCACUUGAGCCCGGGAGUUGGAGGCUGCAGUGAGCUGUGAUCAUGCCACUGCAUUCCAGCCUGGGCAACAGAGUGAGACCCAGACUCAG